rnacentral:rRNA from 1 species
AGCGAACGCUGGCGGCAGGCCUAAUACAUGCAAGUCGAGCGGGUCCUUCGGGAUUAGCGGCGGACGGGUGAGUAACGCGUGGAACGUGCCCUUUGGUACGGAACAACUGAGGGAAACUUCAGCUAAUACCGUAUGUGCCCUUCGGGGAAAGAUUUAUCGCCAUUGGAGCGGCCCGCGUUGGAUUAGGUAGUUGGUGAGGUAAAGGCUCACCAAGCCUACGAUCCAUAGCUGGUCUGAGAGGAUGACCCAGCCACACUGGGACUGAGACACGGCCCAGACUCCUACGGGAGGCAGCAGUAGGGAAUCUUGCGCAAUGGGCGGAAAGCCUGACGCAGCCAUGCCGCGUGAAUGAUGAA